CGCAGCCAGCUGCGAGACUUGGUGUGAAUUGCAGAACACUCCGAACGCUGAUUAUUCGAACGCACAUUGCGGCUCCCUCCUUUCCCGGGGGGGAGCCUCGCCUGUCCGAGGGUCGCGUGCCUAWWAGAAGGCCCCGGUGCCCGGGUUGCCUCCAGGCAAGAGCGCCGACGCCCAGCGGCAGCCBUCCGAAAAGCGGAAGGGCCCCGACCCUAGCYACGGCCAUGACGGGUAACGGGGUCCGAGACUUGUUUAGAUUGCGACCUCGGAUCAGACGAGACGACCCGCCGAACUUAAGCAUAU
rnacentral:rRNA from 1 species